rnacentral:rRNA from 1 species
GAUGAACGCUGGUGGCGUGCCUAACACAUGCAAGUCGAGCGAUUCUCUUCGGAGAAGAGCGGCGGACGGGUGAGUAACGCGUGGGUAACCUGCCCUGUACACACGGAUAACAUACCGAAAGGUAUGCUAAUACGAGAUAACAUGCUUUUAUCGCAUGGUAGAAGUAUCAAAGCUUUUGCGGUACAGGAUGGAACCGCGUCUGAUUAGCUAGUUGGUGAGGUAACGGCUCACCAAGGCGACGAUCAGUAGCCGACCUGAGAGGGUGAUCGGCCACAUUGGAACUGACACACGGUCCAAACUCCUACGAGAGGCAGCAGUAGGGAAUAUUGCACAAUGGGCGAAAGCCUGAUGCAGCAACGCCGCGUGAGCGAUGAAGGCCUUCGGGUCGUAAAGCUCUGUCCUCAAGGAAGAUAAUGACGGUACUUGAGGAGGAAGCCCCGGCUAACUACGUG